rnacentral:misc_RNA from 1 species
AGUAUAUAGCUCCAGUUAUAC